UGGGUGGCGAGUGGCGGACGGGUGAGGAAUACAUCGGAAUCUACUUUUUCGUGGGGGAUAACGUAGGGAAACUUACGCUAAUACCGCAUACGACCUACGGGUGAAAGCAGGGGAUCUUCGGACCUUGCGCGAUUGAAUGAGCCGAUGUCGGAUUAGCUAGUUGGCGGGGUAAAGGCCCACCAAGGCGACGAUCCGUAGCUGGUCUGAGAGGAUGAUCAGCCACACUGGAACUGAGACACGGUCCAGACUCCUACGGGAGGCAGCAGUGGGGAAUAUUGGACAAUGGGCGCAAGCCUGAUCCAGCCAUACCGCGUGGGUGAAGAAGGCCUUCGGGUUGUAAAGCCCUUUU
rnacentral:rRNA from 1 species